GAAAUCAUGCUCUGUUUUAACAUGAUAUGUCGUCAUGUGUGCUUAAGCUGUUCUGACCAUAAUGACAUUAAGAAAUUGACGGUAGUAUCUUGAUGUUAGGGUCGAGUGAGAAACAGCUGGAGCUAGGUUUAUCAACAUUCAAGCUGCUUAUGAAUUGCUUUUAGAUGAAGAGAACAGAAGCCAAUGCGACAGGAAUAACUGAGUGAACCCAUUCAAAGCAUCUGAAGCAUGGAUAGAGUGCCUAAUGAAAAAAUGAAAAGCUUUUCAUCAGCAAGGUGAUAUGGCAAUAACAGCUUAGACUGAGGAACAGCAGCAUGAGAUGAAUAUCCAUGCAGAUCGUGUAUCAUUAUGCAACAUCCAUCAAACACUUCUCAUUAUUGUAUUCUGUUUAUUCCUUCAUUAAACUAUGUAUACCAAGUUUGAUUUGAAAUUAUUCAUUCUGGUGAGAUUCGUGUAACAUGUGCUAAUCAUACAGCUAAAGAAUUCAAAAGUUGUUGAAUUCUUUAACUGCAUGAUUAAAACAUGUUACACGAAUUUCUCCAUCAGAAUCAGUAAGUUCAAACCAAAUAAAAUCUGUAAAUUUCAACAAAGACAAUUGGUAUUUCUACUAUGUAAUGUUACAAAAUCAAACAUAAUCUCCACCAUGUAACAAUAAGUCCCGCAGCAAAGAGCUGGCACUUUUUCUAGUUGAUUUUGAUGAUUAAAAACAUGAUGUUAAACAAUUGGCCUCAAAUAAAGUUGUGCAUGUUUGAGGUCUUUUGGUAAUGCAUAAAACCAGUUUUGAGACCUGAGAGGCUAAAGUGAAAUGUACGACAUUGUACAAUAUGUAUCUGACAUGACCCGUCUCUGAUUUCACCCUAAAAUAUGAAGUGGCUCUGCAAGUCUUUGAUGUUUUUCUUUCUGUGUUUAACAGAUUCUUUACACUCUUGGUGGAUUAGAAAACAUACAGACGGCAAAAAAAUGCUACGCAUAUAGACUUGAUUGGGGGCAACAAUAUCAUAGCACUAUUUGGUAUUAACUUGUGUACUUCUGCCAUUGCACGACUUGCGAAAGGAAGGAACAAGGAAGACAAGGAGCCCCGGAGCAAUGGGAUUGUAGAUCCAAGUCUGUUAAGUAAGGUAUCGUAGUUUUGGUUUAUUUUACCAAGAAUGGGAUUGGUUGUUAAGUACUGACAAGAGUUGAAAGGUUGGUGCCACUCUCACUUUAGUGGUUGUUUGUCAAUGGUAUGAGGGUACAACUUUUCAGCUCUUAGACUAAAAAAUGGGUUACUAUUUGAAUUCAGGUGGCAGAGAAGCUGAGCCUGUUU